GCCCGCGUAGCUCAGUCGGUAGAGCAUUUCCAUGGUAAGGAAAAGGUCGCCGGUUCAACUCCGGCCGCGGGCU
rfam:Candidate division WOR-1 bacterium RIFCSPLOWO2_02_FTLL_46_20 rifcsplowo2_02_scaffold_1495, whole genome shotgun sequence.